rnacentral:rRNA from 1 species
UACGUAGGGUGCGAGCGUUAAUCGGAAUUACUGGGCGUAAAGCGUGCGCAGGCGGCGCGUUAAGACAGGUGUGAAAGCCCCGAGCUUAACUUGGGAAUUGCGCUUGUGACUGGCGUGCUGGAGUGUGGUAGAGGGAGGUGGAAUUCCACGUGUAGCAGUGAAAUGCGUAGAGAUGUGGAGGAACACCGAUGGCGAAGGCAGCCUCCUGGGCCAGCACUGACGCUCAUGCACGAAAGCGUGGGGAGCAAACGGG